UAAUAGGAGACUGUCAUAAACUGCUGUUUGGAGACUGGGAAAAACAGGGACACCCCGGCACAAACAGGUGGUUAAGUUCCCAGAAUACCACUUGCCCACAAAGACCAGUUAUAGCCUUAAAGGUUCGUUUUGAUUCCUACCGAAUUCAACAGCUAACAGGACUCGAUAAAAUCCCAAACUGGGCUUUUUUCAUCCUCUUACCAACUAUCCCAAGAAGACGUUUUCAAAUGAACACUGAAAAUAGCUAUGAUGCCAUAUUGUAUGAACUAAUAAAAUGAUAGUCUAAAUUCAAUGAGA